AUUGAACGCUGGCGGCAGGCCUAACACAUGCAAGUCGAACGAGUGGCGGACGGGUGAGUAAUGUCUGGGAAACUGCCUGAUGGAGGGGUAUAACUACUGGAAACGGUAGCUAAUACCGCAUACCAUCAGAUGUGCCCAGUUGGGUUUAGCGUGUUGGUGGGGUAACGGCUCACCAAGGCGACUAUCCCGAGCUGGUCUGAGAGGAUGACCAGCCACACUGGGACUGAGACACGGCCCAGACUCCUACGGGAGGCAGCAGUGGGGAAUAUUGCACAAUGGGCGCAAGCCUGAUGCAGCCAUGCCGCGUGUAUGAAGAAGGCCGUCGGGUUGUAAAGUACUUUCAGUGGGGAGGCGUUACCCGCAGAAGAAGCACCGGCUAACUCCGUGCCAGCAGCCGCGGUAAUUC
rnacentral:rRNA from 1 species